GACAGAGGUCCCAAGCGUUAGGCGGAAUCACUGGGCUUAAAGCGUGUGUAGGCGGAUUUGUAAGUACCUUGUGAAAUCCCACGGCUUAACCGUGGAACUGCUUGGUAUACUGCUUAUCUUGGGCCACUUAGGGGUUACCGGAACAAACGGUGGAGCGGUGAAAUGCGUAGAUAUCGUUUGGAACGCCAAUGGUGAAAACAGGUAACUGGGAGUGUGCCGACGCUGAGACACGAAAGCCAGGGGAGCGAACGGG
rnacentral:rRNA from 1 species